GACGAACCGAGCGAACGUUAUUCGGAAUCACUGGGCUUAAAGGGUGCGUAGGCGGGCACGCGAGUCAGGGGUGAAAUCCCACGGCUUACCCGUGGAACUGCUCGGUAUACUGGGAGUCUUGAGCCACCUAGGGGCGAGUGGAACAAAUGGUGGAGCGGUGAAAUGCGUAGAUAUCAUUUGGAACGCCAAUGGUGAAAACAACUCGCUGGGGGUGUGCUGACGCUGAGACACGAAAGCCAGGGGAGCGAACGGG
rnacentral:rRNA from 1 species